rnacentral:tRNA from 1 species
GGAGAGGUGGGAGAGCUGGUUUAAUCCAAUCGGUUGCUAACUGAUCGUGCGUCGAAAGAUGUACCGAGGGUUCGAAUCCCUCCCUCUCCGCCA